GAGGGGACUCAGUAACUUGGUCUCCAGGAGGGGAUUGUUUGAAUGGAGUGAGUUCUCAAAGGGCCCUGAAGAGGGAGAAAACAGAGCCCUGGAGGCUCUGGAGUGCUAUCACUGUACAGAGCUGAGUAGCUGCUUAAACACCUGUACAGGAGGGAGCACUACACUGUGUCUACAGCUGGAGAGAAGACUCGCUGCUGCUGUGGUGGUGAAAGUGAAUUGACUGGAAGCUUCUGCCAGGCCCAUCAGUUUAAUGUAGAAAGCUUCCUGUGGCAACAAAGAAGAGUGAGACAAAGGGAAUUCAGUGCAGCAAGAAGAAGGGCAGAGGGAAAAGUGUUUCUCCAGUGUGCUGGAGAGAACACAGAGUCCUCCCCAAAAGGAAAGGUGCAGACAGCUACCUCACCUGCUGUUGCAGAAGAACUAGAUAAAAAAACAAUCCUGAAAUCUGCUCCAAGCAAGUGAACCUUUAUGCUGGUAUGUAAUCUCAUUGAACAUGGGCUUGGAAGCCGGUUUUGUCUCACCUCUGAGUUCUCCUGCACUGCCUUCUCCUUUGUUGAUUAUGAAACAGGAGCAAAAUAUGCGUGAAAAAAUCCUUUAGAAAUCGGCAAGAUUUCAGUACAAAUUGUACGUGAUGCACAAGAAAACCAACCAGAACAACACUCAAAUUCUAGUAAUGAGAUCUGAGAACAGUGGUAACUUGCUGGGUGUUCAGACUGGGGUCUGAAAUCCAACAGGACCAUUGAAACAGACACUCCUUCAUCACCACAAGACUCUGAUAACUACUCUUCUCUUAAGCCCUCCUUGAAGUGAAGAACCCAGGGCUGGCAAAUGCUUAAGGUCAGCCAUAAGAAGAACAACAGUACAGCUGUUCUCUAGAAAACUAGCCAAUCAACCUAAGUUUUUCUCUUUCUCUCUCUCUCGGAUCACUGUGCAUUUAUAAACUAUGUUUUCAUAACUCAGUUAAAUGGUAACAAAACCCAUGAAGAAUUACUAUCCUAUACAUUGUUUUAAAACUAUGAUGAAUAGCUAUGAGAUCUAGGGGAUGUGUACAAUGUACAGACACUUCUACAAGUUGUCUCACUUACUCUAUGUGUAGUCCAUACCCAUUAUAUAUGUGUAGUCCAGUACCUGUUUCAAAGGAGGUGGGUUAUAGUCAGCUUCAGUGAAUUUGGAGAGUUCCACUGAUAUGACACUAUUUAUUGCACAUCUUGAAAGCACACUAUCCAAAUACUUUACAAAACAUAAUUUAAUUACAUGCAGUCCAUCUGGGAACUACUAGGAACCUCCUUUCAUGGCUCAGCUGAGAUGAACGCCAUCAUGGCUUUUCAAACCCCAGGAGUCACAAAGGGUCAAGACUGUGAUUAUAUGGCAGGCUGGGCCUACUUAGAAAAUCCAAAUAGCCCUAAAGGGACUAGGAUGGAAAGCGAGCCUCUCGUCGGUAGUGCUCUGUUCUUUGGCAAUUGCAAACUCCUCUAUGUAGCCAUACAGCUAAAGGUUUCUGGCCCAGGCUGGUAUGAAUGUUCUGUGUCAGUAGAGGUGGGUGUGAGUGGGUAAGCGGGUAUGUGGAUUUAUAUGGGGAAGUUGAGUGAGGGGGCAAGUGGGAAAGGAAGUUCUCUUUGCCAAUGCAGGGCUUUGCGCUCUUCAGGGCUUUUUAUGCAUAGGAAAAAAAAUGACGAGGGCAUUAUGGCUAGGAUUUUCAAAGGAACCUAAGGGAAUUAGGUCUCAAACUCCCAUUGAACCUUACUAGGAGCUGAGCACUUAACUACCAUAGGUCCCUUUAUAAAUCCCACCCUACAGCUUUAUGUGAUGGACAUGACUGGCAAUCCAGAAGCUUGGGAGCAGGGGUGGAGGAAAGGCCCACUUAGAGGCAUAACUCCCUGCCGGUAGCUUUCUCCAGUGGUUGCUGACUGAAGACUCAGUCCUCAGAGGUGCUGAGGACCCUCAGCUCCCUCCGACUUCAAUGGGAGCAUCUGGUGUGCAGCAUCUCUAGGGAUGGGGCCCAGAGAGAUUUGGGGCGGUGGAGUCAAAAAGGCUCUUGGGAUCUCCCUGGCUUAUACCGAUAGAACAGAUAUCUUGCUCCUAGAUGUUAUUGCAAGGGUGCUUUAUAAGUCAGGAUUUUAGAGAAAUGUGGUGGUCCAGAUCCUCUGUUGGUAUAAAUACAGCUCCCUGCACUCAUCGGAACUACACUGACUUAUACCAGCUAAGGCUCCAGCCCAGUGUAGUUGAUAAGUGUCUAGAUGUUUUAAUUGCAUUUAUCUUUAAAGGGCAGGAAUUUAGGCUAAUGGUACACUGGGGGUAUUGAAAAUGAGGGGUAAAGUUCUGCUCUCAGAUCUUGGUUAUGAAAUCCAGCUCUCGCAGCAGGAGUUCCACGCGUUGAGGGAGCAGGAUAUUGGAGUGGCAGGCUCCAGUGAGGGUGUGGGAUUUGCCCAAGAUUUGUACAGUCACACUCGAUAUAUCCUCCUAUAUGUUCUGAACAACGUGCCUCAUCAAAACGCAACCUCACACAAGCCAGGGGCCGAUUAACCCAGUUGCAGGCUAUCUGUGAAUUUCUCUUGUCAG